UGACGAUGAUGAUGUUUGAUGGACGGUGGUUGUGGCCCGAGUGACAAACCUCCGCCGCCAAUCGCGACCGGAGACACCACUUCAGUGGUGACGCGGUGGUGAUGGUUCAGCAUGGUGCGACAUCGGCAAUGGUGGUGGACAAUAUUUUUGGAUCGAGUUUUGUUUGGGUCAGCUUAGUUCUGUUUCAGGUCUUGAGCUUCGGUUCCGGUCAUCAUCAGUCUUGUUGUUCUCGAUUUGUAUUCGGGUGACAUCGGUGUUCCAUCAUCCUAACCUCACACUCGUCGACACUUGGAUAAUCGGAAGACUUAGCAAUUUUGUUGAUUAUUGAAGUAUGGAUGAAUGAUGAAACAAGUUUAGGGUGGACUAGAUAC